UUAAAAUAAAGAAGGUUCUUAUAAAGCCACUUCCUUAUUUGAUGGAAGAGGCAUCAAAAGAGAAGAGGUGUUUUGAACUUACUCAUUUGGGGAGGGUGCUUGUACAAGCUUUAAGUGUUCCAGAUCUUACUCGUGCAACGCAAUUUCUUCAGACUUCUCCCUGGUAACCUUCCCCAGUGUCUCGUCCCUUUGGUGUUGACACCUGUGAUGGGAUGAGGACUGCCUUUCCACCCUCCACAUCAGGACUCUCCUGCCUUGGAAGGCAGAGGACACGCUGCUCCAGACCUCAGAGCCUCAGAGGCUGUGCCUUCUUCCAGGAAACAGCUCCUAACCCUCUCCCAUCACUCCCUUUCUUUACCUGUCUCCGUCUUCGCUAUUACUCUGUUGUCACCUGAGGCUUUUUUUCCCCUUCAAUUCCCAGGAAAGGAUGUGACCUCAGAGUGAGUAAGGACUCAAUAAGGACUCACUUAUCCUUACUUUGUUUAGUAAAAGUCUAAGAUUCCAAGGAUAAGACAAGAUGGCCCCUUCACAAAGGAUCAAAAAAAAAACACCCAAUGAGUUCCUUCGAGGGUUUACCUGCAAGUGGUCCUCUUGACAGCCAAAGUGUAGCCCUCAAGGAAUGGGAAGAGAAGAAAGAAAAUAAGUUCCUAAAAGAUUAUACCCCGGUUUUAAGAAUCUUAUCAUAGAUCCUCAUGUGCAGUUUGGGAAGUGAGUCAUUUUGGUGAUGGGUAAAUGAUAGUUCUACAAAGAUUACCUGACUCCACUUACACAAGAAUAUGUAUUCACAGCUGAUAUAACUGAAUGUUCACAUCCCAUCCAUAGAACUCACUUAAGUAGAUUUACCAAAUUGGCCUUUGGGUUUGGGUGAGGAUGCUUGCAGUGAAUCAUUAGCAUAGAGUGAACUGUUCUUAAAACAUAUUUUCUGAUGAGUGUUCUGAAAAUUAUUUCAGUUUGUUGAAUGGCCCUUUGUAGAGCUCCAUGUUCAAGUUGGGCAUAAAUGCCAUUGUUUAACAAUUUUGCACGUUUUCACACAAUGUAAUCUUUUGAUGCCCCUUGAGCAAUCCAUAGAAUAAUGUAUAGCAGGGUCCCACUUAAUCUACUGAAAUGAAUAUAAGCAGUGAUCAAUGGAUAUAGAGCACCAAGGGUCAAAUUGUAUGAGUUUUCUGUCUUUGUUCUUUUGCCAUUCCCAAAAAUGGGUUCAUAAUUUAAGAAAAAGGAAAUUAAAAAAAAAAAACCAGGGACAUGGAGGCCUCCUUAGUAUUUGGGAAUGAGACAUAGCCUCUAGGGUCUAUAAACUAAAGAAACUUUAGUUUGGUAAUUACAGUCUCUGAAAUCCAAAGUUUAAGAGCCUAUGGUUCUGUUGGGUUUGGAAGACUUCAGAUUUGGGAUGUCAUUCCUGACCACAGUAAUGAGAGGCCAUGAAUGCAGGAAGUGCGCUGGGGGCUGAGUCUCGGCUCUGAGUUACUUCCCAUGGAGACUUGGAACUGUGGGGCAGCUUAGAAGUGGAGACUCUUCCCACAGAGCUCCCUAAUGGAGGCUAGCACCUGAACUAAAAGCCAACCUCCAGCUGGGCUGGGGUGUCAGGCAUGGAGCAGGGUGACUCUGGCACAGCUUUGUUCAAAUCAAUAAAACAAACUGGAAAUUGAGCUUUCACUUACCCACCCUAGUAUACUUUCUUUUUAAAAAAAAAUAGAGUCUGUAUUAUAAUCAAAAUGGUACCUGUAUCUUAAAAUUACGUAGGGAAUUUUGUAUGUUUAAAUAAUUGUACUGGGUUCCAUAAUGCUUAUCUUAGAAACUGUUUAGUAAAAGAAAAUAUAUAAACCGUGCAUUUGUGAAUGCCCCCCUUUAGAACAUUCUUCCAAGUUCAAUGUAUAGUGUGAUGGUUAUUAUAGACGUUUAAAGUAUAGUAAGUGGCUGUGUGACAGGAGAGACUGCUAUUUACCUACUGACUUAAGAGUUAACUCCUGCCCACGUAAUUAAAUCAGUAUUGUCCUUUCCUGUUGGUUUGAUCAGUUGCAGUACUGGUGGCUUCCUGCUUGUGACUGUUACCUAAUCGUGUCAAUGUACAUCUGUAGUAUGUACAUGUGAAAGUGCCUUUCUAUUUUAGGAGUCUUAGCCUUGCUCUUUACUGUUGCCCCACACACUUCUGCCCGACACCCAAUUCCUCGCCCACUUGAGUGUUUUGCAACUUAACUCCACUCUCUCCCAGCUUCCUUUCUAUGCCUCGGUGCUCAGUAUUGUCCCGUCUUGCAUCCUCGUCCGUCAUGGUCAGGUCAUGGUCAUCAGACAUCGUUUUCCCCUUAGCCGUGACUGUGCCUUUCCCUCCCUACAGUCACUCUCUGGGUCCCCGACACCUCUCCCGCUCACGAGCUGCUGAUGGCCAUCCUGUCCUCCUCGGCUCUGUACUGCCUCUUACCAUGACAUUUCCUUGUCUCUGAGGUGAAAGUAAAGGGGGAUGCUUUUCUAGUUCUGGAAGGGAAAACAAAUGUUUUGUUAAUCUGUUGUGACAAUGCACUUUUCUGUAUAGUACUGUACAUUUUCGCAUGUACCAUUCCAGGCUUCGGUAUCCAGUCAGGUCUGUUCUCCACGGUGUACCUUUAUAAUAAAUAAGAUAGUGCUGGC
ensembl:lncRNA